UACGAAGGGUGCAAGCGUUACUCGGAAUUACUGGGCGUAAAGCGUGCGUAGGUGGUUUGUUAAGUCUGAUGUGAAAGCCCCGGGCUUAACCUGGGAAUGGCAUUUGGGACUGCAAGGCUUGAGUGCGGCAGAGGAGACUGGAAUUCCUGGUGUAGCAGUGAAAUGCGUAGAUAUCAAGUGGAACACCAGUGGCGAAGGCGAGUCCCUGGACAACUCCUGACACUGAGGCACGAAAGCUAGGGGAGCAAACAGG
rnacentral:rRNA from 1 species